rnacentral:tRNA from 1 species
UCCCUGGUGGUCCAGUGGUUAAGACUCUACGUUUGUAAUGUAGGGGGCAUGGGUUCAAUCCCUGGUCAGGGAA